GAAGGAGUUUUAUUAUAAGGAAUUGGCUCAUGCAAUUAUGGAGGCUGACAAGCCUCAAAUCUGCUCUAGGUAAGCUGGAGACUCAGGAGAGCCACUGGUGUAAGUAAGUUGCAAUCUGAGUCUAAAGGCCUGAGACUCAAAGAGCCAAUGGUGCUUCCAGUUAAAGGGCUGGCAGGCUUAAGAGCCAGGACUAGUUUCACUUCAAGUCCAAAGGCAGGAAAAAGCCAAUAGCUCAAUUUGAAGGCCAGUAGGCAGAAGGAAUUAUCACUUAGCCAGGAAAGGAUCAGCCUUUUUUUUUUUUUUUUUUUUUUUUCUAUUUAGGCCUUCAACUGAUUGCAUGAGGACCACCCACAUUAGGCAGGGUAAUCUGCUUUACUCAGUCUAAUGAUGCAAUGGCAAUCUCAUCCAGAAAUGCCCAGAAUAGUGUUUAACAAAAUAUCUGGGCAUCCCAUGGCUCUGUCAAGUUGACACAUAAAAUUAACCAUCACAAGCCUCAACCUGAAAAUAACCAAAAUGUCUAUCAAUAGAAUAGAGAGCAUACUUGUGGUACAGUCACACAAUGAAAUUGAAAUAAAGACAAUGGAUGCAAUUACCUGCACACGUGAUACAAAUGCAUUUUACAAACAUUAGGUCCAAUGAAGAAGCCAGACAUAAAAGAGAUCACAUAGUAUGAUUCCAUUUAUAUAAAGUACAGACAGAAAAAACUAAAGCGUUAGAAGUCAGGAUAGUUGUGGGGUUUUUCUUGUUUUCGUUUUUUGAGGAGAAGGGGAAGUUUUGAGGAAAGAGAAUGUAGUCAUUGGAAGGGGCAAAAAGAGAUGUGCUGGUAAUAUUUUUACCUUGACCCUCAUGGUUGUUCACUGGGGCAUUCAAUUUGUUACAAUUCACUGAGUUGAAUUCUUAUGACUUGUGCAUUUUCUGUAUGGGCCAUACUUUGAUAAAAAGUUUUUAAAAACUUUAUUAAAUGAGAGUGAUUCAGGAAUAGUUUGAACCUUUUUAAAAACAUGAACACAUAUUACUUUUUCUAAUUCAAGAAAUACUCAGAAAAGCAAAUCCUCAUCAAGUCAUUGUCAUGACAAUAUUGUAAAAUGCAACUCAACAUAGGCAAAACCAUUCUUCAGUUGAAUCUGCCUUUAAUGAAACAGUUAUUUAAAAGUUUCAUUAUGAUAAACACUUAGAAGGCACAAAAAAUGUUCAAGUGUAUAAAGAAUCAUUUAGCAAAGUAUUACUGCUUUGCAUAAACUCAUGAACAAGUGACAGUCAAAAGAUUACAACAAUCUGAAGGUUAAUGAAUCAUUUAUUACAACAGAGUGGCAUGCACAUAAGUUUUACUAAAAUAUGUUCUUUCAUUGUCAUUUUAUCUACAGCAAAUGUUCUUUCUCCAAAUUAAACCAAUUUAGAAACUACAAAAAAAAUCUUUAGGAUGAUAACAGUUAACAGAACUAACUUCAGUCAGUGGAUAUAGUCAGGUGGGAGAAAUACUGGAAGAUACCAGUUGCACAGAUCACAAUGGAAAACACCUUCAUUUAAAAAAUGUAAGAUGUCUUGCGAGGUUUCGCCGGGGGUCUGGCGGCUGCCACUCGGCGUCGGGUGCGGGAUGCGCUCAGAAAAGGAGGGGGCCAGAGGCCGGUCAGCCGCUGCGGCGCGGGGCCCAAGCGGGAUAGAGAAGCGUCAGUCGGCCAUAGAGGUGCAGUUCUACCGCGACUUGGCGCAGCGACAGCCGGAGACGCAGCCAACUCCGUCCUCCGGUUGUGGGGACGGUGCGGGCAAACCUCUCGAGGAGAAAAGGACGGCCCUGAGCAAGGUGGUCAUCUGCAGCCUGCCCCUGGGCCUCACCAAAGAACAGCUGGAGGAGCAGCUGCACCCACUGCCCACGCACGACUACUUCAAGUUCUUCUCCGCCGACCUGAGUCUUUAUCCUCAUCUCUAUUCAAGAGCAUACAUUAAUUUUAGGAAUCCUGAUGACAUCCUUCUUUUUAGAGAUCGUUUUGAUGGAUAUAUCUUCCUUGACAGCAAAAGCCUAGAAUAUCCUGCAGUGGUAGAGUUUGCUCCAUUCCAGAAGAUAUAGCCAAAAAGAAGCUGAAAAAAAAAAAAGAUGCCAAGACUGGAAGCAUCGAAGAUGAUCCAGAAUACAAGAAGUUUUUAGAAACCUACUGUGUGGAGGAAGAGAAGACCAGCACCAACCCUGAGGUUCUCCUGGGGGAGGUGGAGGCGAAGACAAGAGAGCUCAUUGCUAGAAGAACCACACCUCUUUUGGAAUAUAUUAAAAAUACAAAAUUAGAAAAGCAGAGAAUUCGGGAAGAGAAGCGAGAAGAACAGAGGAGGAGAGAGAAAAGAAACGCUUGCGGGAAGAGGAGAAAAGAAGAAGAGAAGAAGAAAGAUGCAAAAAAAGGGAGACAAAUAAACGGAAGAAAACUGCAGAGAAAGAAGUAAGGAUUAAGCUUCUUAAGAAACCAGAAAAGGGAGAGGAACCAACCACAGAGAAUCCAAAAGAAAGAGGAGAGGAGAUUGAUCCUGAGGUGGCAAGCAGGAAUCCUGUACCCCUGGCACAGUCAUAAAAGUCAGGACCGCGGAAGGCUCACUGGAGGAGCCCCAGGAGAUGUCACGCAAUGGCAGUGACAAAGAGCACACGGACAUGGAGAGAUCUCAAGAAAAAGAACUUGAAGCACAAAGACCCCAUGUGGAUGAUGGCAGAAGGCACCGAGUUUACCACGAGCCUGGCCUGCUUUCCAGGAGUGAAGAUGAGCGGAGAUGGGGGAAAGGACCUGGGAAGAAGAGGAGCCAGGGCAGGGGGCCCCCAGGAAGGGCCGUGGAGAGACUCGGAAGAGCACAGAGGUGUGAUGACAGUCUGGCACCCAGAAAGGAGCGACUGGCAAACAAGGACCGGCCCACCUUGCAGCUGUAUGAUCCGGGAGCUCGCUUCCGAGCUGGAGAGUGUGGUGGAAGCGGGAGGAACUGCAAGGCAGAAGCUUCGGGGACUGGUCCUGAGAAGAGGGAAGAGGCACAGUGAGUCACACUGUGCACCUGGCCUCCAAGGACGAGUGAAGGCAUCCCAGAAACGUGUACAUGACUCCAAGUAUUACUGGAAAGGAGCACUUACUCCUUACCAGGAAACUGGAAGCUGAAAAUAGAGGGUGACGUGGAAACACACAGAAGCCAUUCUAAAGAAAGUAGUGAUCUUGUCUUAAAUUGAGCAGAAUUCUCAUAGAUUUUACCAUUUCUGGUAUAAACUAGUAGUUGGUGUUUAGCCAAAUCACAAAUGAUUUUCAUUGGACAGUAGAAAAGUAUGUGUAAAAUAGGGGAGAAAAUUAGUAUUGAAUCAGUACGAAUCCUGAAGCACUGUCAGUGCCGUGAGAACGACGUCCACUUUGGGUUUCGUGUGUAAGCAGAGGAGCUGUGAGCCUCAUUGUGCUUCCCACUGGCCUCUGAGCCGUGGUACUGAGGAAAGAGCAGUUCUUGUUUGUUACAACCUUUGUGAGUCAGCCACGCCCAUGCUGUGUUUUAGUCCUUCUGGUAGGAAUAUAUAUCAGACUUCACACUGUAUAAAUCCAACAGCUUCACCUGUGGCCAUUUCAACAGUUUUGUCACUGACUGAAUGAAAGUGGUUUCACAGUCUUGGGUGGAUACAUUUGUGGUUUGUAACCAUUAUGGUUUAAACCAUGGUUUAAGGAUUUGCCCAAAAAACAGAAAUUUUGUUCGGGAAGGGAUAAAGUGGGUACAGCACAUAGAUGAAUGUUAGACACUUUAUUUGUAAAUAACUUAAAAUGGCUUUCUGAAACUAUGCAUCCUAUAGUUUCUUCCUUUCAGUGAAAUUGUUAAAUGUUAAUGUAUUUUUCACAUUAUGAUUUUAACCAUUUAUUAAAUAAUUUUGUUAAAGAA